rnacentral:rRNA from 1 species
UACGAAGGGGGCUAGCGUUGUUCGGAUUUACUGGGCGUAAAGCGCACGUAGGCGGAUUGUUAAGUCAGGGGUGAAAUCCUGGAGCUCAACUCCAGAACUGCCUUUGAUACUGGCAAUCUAGAGUCCGGAAGAGGUGAGUGGAACUCCUAGUGUAGAGGUGGAAUUCGUAGAUAUUAGGAAGAACACCAGUGGCGAAGGCGGACUCACUGGUCCGGUUCGUGACGCUGAGGCGCGAAAGCGUGGGGAGCAAACAGG